rnacentral:lncRNA from 7 species
AGGCUCUCUCGGAGGCUUUGCAGAGAGGUCUCAGCGCAUCCAUUUUCUAAGAUCCUCUCCUCUCCGGACAAGAAUCUUGGGCCCUUGAAGGCACCUCGGAGCUGGGAAGCGGCGAAUGGACUCUCGGAGGGGUGUGCUCAGACAGUGGCCGCGGAAGCUCCUGGGUGGCAGCGGCGGCGGUUCUCUUGGGCUGGACGCGGUGAGGGGAGCAAGCCGAUUUUCCCAGCAAGAUCUCCAUGUACAGCUACAUCUUUAGGGCCGCUCGGGUUAAUAUAUGUCGUCAGAGGCUCCUCACGCCAAUCCCGGGGCGGCGGGGGCGGCGCCUCGCGCUCUCCGCAAUAAAACUUUUUGAUGUUCACGUUGCUAAUUGCCGAGGUCCUCUUCUAGGAUUGGUUGUCCACUCAUAACCAUAAGAUAAUUAAAACGGGGGGGGGCAGGGUAAAAAAAAAACCCUUUUAUCAGCCAUAGGUUAAUGCAAGUGUUUAACAGAUGCUUCGCUAUUAAAAUAUUUCCCCCCAAUACUGAAGAAUCUUAAACCAGCAACCCUAACAGAGAUUGCGAAGAUUUUCAAAGUGGGGCACCUCGAUUUCUCGAAUCUGUGGUGUGGCGAAUAUCCGUGUUCCUCCUGCUUAACUAGCCUGUUUGAAGGCACAGUUCAUUCUCGAGCAAUUCGUCACCUCCUGGGGGUCUUCUCUUCCCGUCUACAGGAGAGUGUGACUUCAGAAAGAACUUCGGAUUGGCCAAGGCAGGUCUGAUUCUAUUUAUUCUAAAGACAGAGUUGGAGAUGGGCUACCAUUGGUGUUGAUUGAGAUGACAAGCAGUCACCUGAGCCCAUACAGCUGGGUUCACAGAUGUGGCUAGUCUUGCUAGCCAGCUCGCACUGUGGACAUUCUAGGGAACUGACUGCAGUCCUCAUGCUUGGAGUCAAACACUUUAACCACUGCACACGUUUAUGUAAUAGGAUUGACAUAUGAGAAUCAGAGAAAUGAAUGAAAGAUUAGAGUGGGAGAAAGUGCUUGCUGCCAAGCUUGAUGACCUAAAUUGAAUACCUGGAACCUACACGACAGAAAGAGAGAGCUGACUGCUGAAAGAUGUCCUCAGAUCUUCACAUGUGCACAGUGGCACCUAUCCAACCAUGCACAUAGUAUAUUAAAAAUUAUUUUUUAAAAAA